CUGCAACCCGGCUUGAGCGGAAAUCCUUUUUUGUGGCUGGAAAAGCGACGGCAAAAAGAUUGGGAGCGGAAGACGGAAAUAGU
rnacentral:sRNA from 1 species